GGAAAGGCGCGCGAUACAGGGUGACAGCCCCGUACACAAAAAUGCACAUGCUGUGAGCUCGAUGAGUAGGGCGGGACACGUGGUAUCCUGUCUGAAUAUGGGGGGACCAUCCUCCAAGGCUAAAUACUCCUGACUGACCGAUAGUGAACCAGUACCGUGAGGGAAAGGCGAAAAGAACCCCGGCGAGGGGAGUGAAAAAGAACCUGAAACCGUGUACGUACAAGCAGUGGGAGCACGCUUAGGCGUGUGACUGCGUACCUUUUGUAUAAUGGGUCAGCGACUUAUAUUCUGUAGCAAGGUUAACCGAAUAGGGGAGCCGAAGGGAAACCGAGUCUUAACUGGGCGUUAAGUUGCAGGGUAUAGACCCGAAACCCGGUGAUCUAGCCAUGGGCAGGUUGAAGGUUGGGUAACACUAACUGGAGGACCGAACCGACUAAUGUUGAAAAAUUAGCGGAUGACUUGUGGCUGGGGGUGAAAGGCCAAUCAAACCGGGAGAUAGCUGGUUCUCCCCGAAAGCUAUUUAGGUAGCGCCUCGUGAAUUCAUCUCCGGGGGUAGAGCACUGUUUCGGCAAGGGGGUCAUCCCGACUUACCAA
rnacentral:rRNA from 1 species